UCAGCGUUUUUAAGCCUUGGAGUAUCUUUGUCCACGUCUGUAGCCGAUUGUGUGAGCAGAAAUGGGUCGACAAGUUUUACAUAAAAGAUGAAAACGUUAUCAACGCCUGAAGUCUUUUUUGUCAGCUAUCUGUCUAGCAUGGUCCAG